ensembl:lncRNA
AGCCCCUGCUCUGGGCUGGGGACAAUGUGAUCUCUAGGCUCCCUGAUGGGACAGAAGUCCUGUGCCUUGGCACACGGGCAGUGCCCAGGCUUUGACCCCUUCCUUGGGACUCCUGUGGUACGUUCCCAUUUAACUCAAGGCUCCUUGUGAUUGGACCAAGCAGUGUGUUCAUAAGACAGAAGGACCAAAGCUUGUGACAGCAGAGAUGGGCAGUGUCAAGGGGGCCUGAGGAUAGGGAAGGUUUUGUGUGGCCUGCUACCCUGAAAAUGGGGCCAGGUGCCUGAGGGUGUUGCCAGGACAGCACUCCUGACUGGCAGGGUCUGUCCAGACCUGUGGUCCCGCCCAACUUGCCCCAUCCUCUCACACAGGUGUUCCAGAGUGAGGUGGAGAAAAUCAUCCAGUGCUUGGUGUGCGGCCACGAGGAGCGCAUCCCAUCGGGAAGCAGGAUGCUGAUCCUGCCCCUGGCUUCCCACACCCAGCUCUGUGGCUUGGAGGGGGCUGGGCAGAAACCUGGCAAGCCAGCCAAUCCGGACACCGAGAUGCUGAGUUUCUCUCUAAUCCAGAAGUUUGAUGAUGAAGACAAUCGGUUCUUCUGUGAGCCCUGUCAUGCCAAGACUCCCGCCUCGGAGGAGACACGCUUCCUGCGGCUCCCGAAGGUCCUGAUUCUGCAAGUCAGGGAGCUGACGUUUGAAAAUGGGAGGUUUCACAAAAUUCAGAAGCCUAUCAACAUUGCCCAGGUGCUGAAACUGCACACCAGCCCCAGAGAACUGACAUUGCCUAAGUGUAAAGCUUCCCACAGUGGCACAAUCACCCCCAACCCGGAGCAGAGAGUCUACCACCUCUACGCCGUGUGCUGCCACUCGGGAGACUGCAGUGGGGGCCACUACACAGCUCUGGCCCAGCCCCCCGGCCAGGCGGAGUGGUUCCGCUUCAAUGACCAGCAGGUGCACUGUGUGGGGCCGGAAUUCCCUCUGCACCACACGUUCAGGUCUGAGACCCCGUACCUACUGCUGUAUCGCUGUCAGGAAACUGGAGACAGGCAGGAGCCAGAGGCACCUGGGCCUGACAAUGGGGAUAUGAGAACCAUGACAGAUGUAGCUGUUCCAAAGGAGAAGGUGCCUUGUCCAGGAGUGGAGGGAGAGACUCUCAAGACAGACUCUGCCACAGUCUGCUGGGGAGGACACAGCCAGAGCCUCUCUCUUCUCCAGGACGACGAGCCCAUCUGCCACAGACAGAGUCCUGCCAAGAAGUGCAGGAGGGACGUGGAGCCUGGCCUUGGGAACAAGGGCAGAGCCUCAGAGCAUGUGGAUGAGGAGGGCCCUAAAGCGCCUCCACCAGGGGAGCAGGGGGAGGCCCGAGGCCUGCCCUGUGGCCCCCAGUGUAGCCCCGAAGAGGAACUCCCUGCCAUGGGAAUGAGGAGCUCGGCAGCUGAAGACCAAGCCCUGUCCCACCCUGCGCAGGGCCUAGCACAGCCCGGAAAGACACGCCUCAGGAGCAAAGAUGGAGGAGCAGGGGCUGCCAGAGAAGGAGUCCGGCUCCUCGGAGACAGAGAAGCGGAAGCCAUGGCCACCAGAGAAAGAGGAGUGGAGAUUGCCAAAGAAGGGGGCCAGCUCCUCAGAGACGGGGGAUUGGAGGCUGUGGCCUCCAGAGAAGGAGGAGGGGAGGCCGUGGCUGCCAGAGAAGGGGGCUGGNNNNNNNNNNGUGGCCACCAGAGAAGGAGGAGCAGAGGCCGUGGCCACCAGAGAAGGAAGAGGGGAGGCUGUGGCCACCAGAGAAGGAGGAGCAGAGGCCAUCGCCACCAGAGAAGGCUGCCCCUCAGAGAUGGAGGAAGGGAGGUGCCAGGCUUCAAGCAUCCUGCCUUGGUGAAGCAGCUGCCAUCUACGUCUCCAGCCCGAGCCUGA